UUUUCCACUCCAGCGCCUCCAAAAAUAUUCCCAGCACAACUAGUUCGAUUCCACAAAUUUGUCAGCAGAACCAUUCGGUACGAUUUUUUCCAGCAACUGAGGGGUCUAAUGUCUUCCCAGCCAGCAAAACAUCGGGCAGCGGAACAGAUAUUUUGCGGAACAGAUACGUUUUGUGCACUUGUAUCUCAAAAGCGUAAGUUUCUGCUAUGGCGCGCGUUAUAAUGAUCUUGAUCUUGCUUGCAUUUCUAUAGCUGUAAUGACCUAUGCAACUGAAAUACCAGGAAAAGAAAUUUUCUAUUUUCAAGAAUUAAAAUCUGAAUAAUUUAGUUAUUCUACACGUAAAAUAUUUAAAUAACAUUUGAGUAAAUAGAUAGAGGCUUUUUAAACCAAAGACAAAUAGUUCACUAUGAAUACAUAUUAUUUUGGAUCUAACAAAAGACAAUAUAGCUCAGAAUAGAGUAAUCCGUAGGAUGUUAAGGAAUGUUAAACAUAGUUUAUCAACUGGUCUCGCAAUAACGCGUCCAGGUUUCUGUGUGGGAUCUUGCAUACAUUGUUUAUCUGAGACUUUAGCGUUUUAUUUUGCUCGCAGGAUCUAACAAAGGACAAUAUAGCUCAGAAUAGAGUAAGCCGUAGGAUGCUAAGGAAUGUCAAACAUAGUUUAUCAACUGGUCUUGCAAUAACGCGUCCAAGUUUCUGUGUGGGAUCUUGCACGCAUUGUUUAUCUGAGACUUUAGCGUUUUAUUUUGCUCGCAGGCCAUAAUCAAAAUUUUACCGAGGUAAAGCUAGCCACUGGAUAAAAAAUCCAACAAAAGCAUGUGUUUUAUCUCAUACUUUUCAAUUGUGAAACACUAAACAUUAAAAUUUUACCGAGGCGAGUGCCUCACUUGCCUCAUGAUGGAUGCGGCCCUGGCUCGACUAUAUAUGUCGAGUUCGUCAAUGGAGGAUGUCGCCUGAAGUGACAAAUUUUAGCUCAAGGGGGCACCUUUUCAACCAUUCAUAACGCAAUCUCGACCUUUUCUUUGUCUAAACCAAACGCAUUGCAUCGUCUAUUGUCACUGCAAACACAACGCUCUCAUAACGGUUUUAAUUUCAAGACAUUUAAAGUGCCAUCGGAAUGAAAUAUAGCCAGAAAGUAGCUAACCACACCCCGCCCCUUUCCUGAAUCUUUUCUAACCAAACUGAAACGUCACAAUUGCACCCUUCCUUAAAAAUGCUACUUGCCUUGGCUUUCCUGGACGACAGCUUGUGUGAGCUCUGCUAGUAGGCACUCAGCAAGAAAUAGAGAAGCACUUGGAAAAUCCUCCGUCAUCUUUCUCGUUUGGUUCGGAAGUCUGUUCCCUUUGACAGCUGCUUACACUGACUUGUUCGGACUUGAUGAUAGAACUACUACCUCUAGCAGGUGAUUGGCUGCUGGGAUGUACACCGGAAUUCGCAAAGACGCAAAGAACAAGCGUAACUCUAACAAGUGCGACACAUCUCUGUGGAUAAGGAACGCGAGCACUAACUGGUAUAGCUUUUGACCCCUGGAGCGAUAUGUGACUUUAAAUGGACGGCUUGUCUACUUGUUUCUAAAAUAAAAACUGGGUCAAAUCGACGUAAGAAAUACAACCAAUUAAAUUACCGUUGCCGUGGUAACCCAGGUAUAAAAAAACACGGAAAUAAGUUUUAAGGGUUCCGUUCAAUUGGACAGCGGGCUCAAACAUGUGUUCGCGGAUCUUCCCAUAAGAACAAACUUUGUUGGAUCUGGUCCAUUUUAUGAAUGCAUAAGUCUUCAGCUCGAACCAACAAUGUAUUUUCCCAUUAUCAGUUUAUCCAAUCCAGUUGAAAUAAAGCAAAACUUCAAUUUUACAAGUUAAUUGAUAUAUGAAAAAAGAAAUCUAGACGACGGAAAAAAAGAAA